UACAUAUAUAUAUAUUUGUGGCUAUAACUGAUAUGAAAAAUAAUUAGCUGCUACCAUAUGAUAUCAUCACAGGCUACUGCGAGUAUAAUUACGUUUUACAUAUGGUUAUUCAUAUUGGAUAUAAAGAUUUGAAUUUUCUUCUAAUUAGUUUCUUCUAAUAGGUGCGUAUAAGUAUCAGACAUACCCAAGACAUGGAAACACUAUUUCAUUUCAUAAAAACAAUUGCAUUGGAUCAGAUUGGCUCCGAUUGGUACUCCAAAGCGGACAUCUGCCUAUGACAGUCGUUCGUUAAUAGAGUUUUUACUGCAUCUAAGGCCUGGCAAGGGUACAAACGUCCUGGCUCCCAUAAAAAUAUAAGUAUAUAAUUUGAGCAGUAUGAAGAGCCAAGUCGAUAUAGCCGUGUUCUGGAUUCCCUCCGUCGAUUUCUAUGCAAACUAGACUCUCAGUUCCAAAGCUAUUUUCCGUAUUUCUAUUUGCUGUCAAUACGUACUAAGUCGGAGCCGGCACUAUAUCGUAAAGAUGUCCUAUGAAAGUCGGCCCACUAUACCAUAUAGUUGCAUAGGAAGCAUAUCCGGCCAAUGCCCAGGUAUGUGCGUUUGUACUUACCCUCAACUAGCUUGGGCACCUCACGUGGCCUAUUCUCGAGGCGCUGAUGACUGAACUUGGGUCCGCCGAAGCGCGUAUGAUACGCCUCCUGGACACGCUUGUGGUGAUCACUCCAGUUGGCCAGCAGAUAGAGCAGCGGCAAGAUGACCAGCAGGCAGAGAACCAAGCGGCAAAUGCGGCCGCUGCGUAUGUUGCUCACACGCAUCUUGCCAGAAUUGUGAUUUAAUUAAAUACAGUUACGUUACGUUA